GAAAGUUUUUUCACACAUUGAAGUUCUAAAUUUUGUUUGAUCUGCAAAGUAUGAAGUCUAUAUUUUUUUUCAUUUGAGAGAAACAAAAAAGAGAAAUCUUCUUGCUGUAAGUUAGUUGAAGAGUACGGAUCUCAAAGCAAUGUUGAAGGGAUGGAGAUAAGAGGUUCCAUGUAGCCUACAGAGAAACUUUACCUUAGGUUCCUUGUGAUGAAACCAACCCAUCAAAGUCUAGUCAUAUAUUUGCAUUGGUGGUUGCAUUUUUCGUUCGUACUAUGUUACAAAGUUGAACAAAAUCUGUCUUGCAAAUGCAAACCAAUGCGCGGCGUGUUACUCUUUGCAGAGAUACGAUCGAUGGUCUGUUACUAGUUACGACACCAGCGGCACGAUACAUUCCCUGCACCUGUUUUCCUUUCUCAGUUAACCAGUCAGCAACAUCUCUUCCCACCACCACCGCCGGCGCCGCCCCAACCCCAUCCGUCACCACCAUGCUCCAGUAGAGAACCGCGAUGCAUGCAGUAGAGAAUCCUCGUCGGCUCGAUGCUCUACUGCACAAGUUCAGAUCCAGCGCUGGAGAGCGCCAGAGGCCGCCGGCCGCCCUAGGCCCUAAUGCAGUUCAGAUUCAGCGCCGGAGAGCAUUUUUUUUUUUCCAUGGGUCAGAGUGCCCUACAUCCCAGACGAGCUGCUGGAGAUGCUCUCCCUCGCCCCCUUGGCCUCCUGGAAUGAGGAGGAGGAUGCUCGACGCUGUCAGCACGUGAUUCAUUCCGUGAGACACGACUCGCCAUGGCAGAUCCAAGGUCAAAGGCCCUAGCUGUUCGAUUUCUUCAUGCCCCUCUCACCAAGUGAAGACUCAACUAUUCCAAGUGGGCAAGUGCCUGAUGCUAAUUACAGCAAAGCUGUCGAAUACCAUGGAUUUCGAAUCUGCAAGCAAAAACAUCAAGGUUAAGAUCGCCAUUGCAGGAAGGGUUUACAAUAGGCAAAUCUGGACAAGGAUGAAUUCGGGGAGAACGUCUAUGAUCCAAGUUAAUGGGUGCCGCAGAAGAAGACUGAAGUGCAAAUUUCAUUGCAUUCAAGAUACUCAUCCAAGUCCUGUAUCAUGGGCUACUAGUUUGUGGUGUUAUUGGGUUCAGUUUGCCUCUCGCUGAUUUGAAUGCACUUUGCAUUUUUGAAUUACUCGGCCUUGAGUGAACUUCAUCUGGUCCUUUCCUUCCUAUGCAUAACUGUGUUGGCUAGGUAAGGGGUCCGAGGUCCAUUGAACAACCUUUCAUAGUAGUUUUUCUGAUGCUACUCUGUGGUGUAAAGAGGUUAUGAGCACACAAGGGCCAUUUAAACGAUACGAUGCAACAUUUUUUGAGAGGUUUAUAGCACCGCGGUAGGGUCUUGGAUGCGUAUCAUUUUUUUUUUGUUAAUUAGGAUAGUGCAGGGCGAUGUGCAGCCCCGCCUCGGUCAUGGAUCACCGGUGCCGUCACUGUUGGGAGGCUGCAUCGUUUGCUCUCAGGGCUUCCCGGAGGUGUUUGCGUUCGGGAACCACUGCGUCGGCGUACCAGGUGGAAGGGCUGGCAAAUCAGGAAGGCGAGGACCUCUUCUGGUAUACCAAUUCCAGCGGCGGCACACAUGGAUUGGAGCAGGCGGAUGCCUCCCUAUCUUUUCCACCUCUGCUGCUUAGACAUGCCAGGAUGACCCAAGGUAUCCAUGAGAGGAACGACACUAUAAGAAGUUGAUUUUGUACUAAGUUUGCAUCCAAAGGUACAUAGAUGGAUUGUUUUGUUGAAAUUUAUUCUUUGUUCAUGAUUGUAUACUCUCAAUAGUUUUACACAGAUGAAAAAAGACAUACUAGGUGUAGCAAUUAACACAUACCUAUAACUAAUAAAAUCAACAGUUCGAAAUUAUGGUGUUCUAUUUCUAUCAAACAACAACAUAUUAAGUGUUGCCUGCGUCUCCCUAUUUUACUAUUCUUUAGGCUCCAUUACAGAGUACUAAUUAACAUAAAACGUCAAUAUAUUAGGUUUUGCCCGCUUCUCCCCAUUGUACUGUUUUUAGGCUCCAUUACAGAGUGCUAAUUAAGAUAAAACAGUAACAUUUGGGAAGGAGCCCAUCAAAUGCCUUAUUAAAUUUACCAAUACCAGAUUUAAUUGCACCAUGGAACACAGGAUGCAAUUUAUCUCUCGACAAGGGAGGCAAUCCUGCAUGAUCAUAAGUUAUUUUAUAUUAGGAAGGCACGGCAAAAUUUUAAUGAAGUAGCACUGGACCUUUUUGGCAAUUUAAAUUUACGGAAAAGCUAAUACGAAAUGGUGCAUCUUAAUACUUGACACUGCCUAAACAGGAAUACUCUACCUUUACAAAUGGACCUAAAAAUGUAUCCAUUCAGUAUUUACAAAAAAUAGAAAAAAAUGAUUUGUGUACUGAGUGAUUGUCCUCAGCAUCAGUUAAGCAAAUGGUUGUAAAAUACACUCUCACAAAAUAUGGCAGUUGCUUCUCUGUAUGAACCUAAGAGGGUGUUCUGAAUGGCUUGAACUUUUGCACAUUUAAGAAGAACUACUCCAUACAUAUUUGCAAUGGUGGCCUAGGAAUGAGCCACUUAGGUUGUCCUAAUCGUUAAAAAUCGGUAGGAGUAUCUUGCUGGAGCCUUGUGGAAACCAUGGCUUUAUCUAUUAAGAAAUAUCAACGAAUCAUAGAGAACUAAUGAUUACCUACCUAAAAAAAAGAUGAUGGCUGAGUCAAUAAGGUUCUCCUCAUAGCUUAAUAUCCAUAUUUAGUAUCUGAACUUUCUGGAUUACCAUGGAAAACUUGGGUAUCCAUGUUCUCAAAUACGAACUAAUCAUAUGAAUCGUGAUCACAUGCCUGAAACAAAAGGCAAAAAUCAUAUAUUAGCUUAUAAUCCCUGGGCGUUCCUUAGAGUGCCCUAGCUCAAAGCUGACCUCCCCUCUGUUUCAGGACUCGACUGCUAGAAAAAAGGCGCACAAAUAUAUUUUUUGCAGCAAUAUCUAACAUCAAUAAAUAGUUCAAGGACGGAAUGCACAAACUGUACGUGAUUAAACCACACAAAAAAGCAAUUUCAUCCAAUGGAGGGAGUCAAAUUAAUUACAUCUACAUAAUUGUUGAGGCGUGUGAUGGAGUGGACUCCUAGGGUGAGGUCGUUGGCAUGAUGUUAUUUCAGUUCUGAUAUGCUGCAAAAAGAAAUAUUUACCAACAACAGUAAGCAAAGGGGCACUGUUUUCCUAGAGCACUGGUGAAAAGCAAUUUAACAAAUCUCGUUUGCAAAAUUAUUAUAAACACAUACAACAUGCAUGUCUUGACACGGACUAAUUGCAAACAUUCCUUGAGGUCAGUGCUUAUCGCAUGCUUCUAUGUAAUGUUUCUCAUAGUUCUAGAUCAAAAAUGCUGAUGUUUUUUUAGGUUAUAGCUUGUUAGAUUCAGGAGGUCUUCUGUUAUUAGUACUAUUUUGAACGGGUUAGCAGGCAGUAGCACACCCAGGCCAAUUCCGCAAUGCUAUGCCAACGUCUGCACCACCUUAAUGUUACCCCUCAGCAGGGGCGGACCCAGGACAAAAAUGUCCCGGUGUCCAUGUGUAUAUUACAUACUUUGGUCUUUUGAAGGUCAACCAAUGUUAUAUGUAAAUGUAAUAUAUACUAAAAAGAUAA